GCGGACUCGGGAGCUGACCAGCUCGGUGGCUGCUGAAAGCAUCGAGAGUGGGGCGAGCGGCGCGGACGAGGAGGCGGGCGCGCUCAAGGUCACCCCGAGGCCCAGAGCCCAGGCAGGGUUCCAGACUGUCGGAGAAUGCCAUCAAACUCAGCGAGAGAGCCUAAUUUGACCAAUCAGGGACUGCCCUCGAGAGAACCAAUUGCGGAGGAUGCCCUCGAGUUUGAACCAAUGAGAGAGCGCGCAGCAGAGAGCCCUGCCACGCUGAUGGAGCGACAAACCAAUCAUAGCGACCCGGACAAUCUGGGCGGUGGCGUUGCAGGUCUCCAGGUGGCCCCUCUUGAGUUUGCCGGGGCGACCUGUCGAACCUUGGGACCCCGAGCGGUGGCUGGUCCCCCACCCGGUGUUCCUCCCAGCUCCGGUCGGACUGCAAAUUGUGCCUGUGCCGGGAGCGGAGCUGCUCCUGGGCGGGCAGGCCGGGUUGCGGUUUCCAUGGAAACUGCUGGCUCUGGAUGCCGCGAAGGGGACUGAGCCCUGGGGGACUUGGGGAGCUCGCGUGGGUGGCCCCAGCGGCCGGACUUGCUCAUCCUCGCUGAUACCUCAGUCCUGGUUGGAAUAAACCCUGGCCCAAAGUGUAAAAUGAA